UACGUAGGGGGCAAGCGUUGUUCGGAAUUACUGGGCGUAAAGGGCGCGUAGGCGGCCCAGCAAGUCGGGAGUGAAAGCCCGGGGCUCAACCCCGGAAUGGCUUUCGAAACUGCUGAGCUAGAGUACAGAAGGGGCAACCGGAAUUCCCAGUGUAGCGGUGAAAUGCGUAGAUAUUGGGUAGAACACCUGAGGCGAAGGCGGGUUGCUGGGCUGAUACUGACGCUGAGGCGCGAAAGCCAGGGGAGCAAACGGG
rnacentral:rRNA from 1 species